GUGUGUAGGAUACGAGAGGCAAUACAUGACACGCUGCGCAGAAUCGUAUCGGCUAUGGCGUGUAACAUGAGUUAGGCGAGCCGUAUUUAAUUGUGCACCAGUGUGAAAAGGGACCUUGGGGAAAGAAUGCCGUCGAUAGCACGCACGGUCUCGCUCUCGAUAAUCGUUCUUCAAUUAUUCGAAUGUUAUUCGAGUGCCCAUGGUUCCUCAAUCAGAUCCCUGGAUGUGCCGCUCGUCGUGCGCAACGGCACAGGACCGGUGGACCUGAUCUGCAUCUACGAGAUUGACGAGGACGAGAACGGACUCGUAAUCAAAUGGUUUCACGAAGCGUAUCAGAUCUAUCAGUGGAUUCCGCCAAUACCACCGCAAGAUAUCGGAAUCAUCGAAGGACUCGCGGAAUAUCCAGCUGAAAUUCUGAAGAACCCGUAUUCGCAUUCGGUGAUACGAUUGAAGACUGUUACGAUGGACAUGACAGGAGAAUACACGUGCGCAAUCAGUACAUUUCAGGACGAAGCGAGCAAUUCGUCAAAAAUGAUUGUUUAUAUACCGGAGAACGACAUGAUGGUGCGUAUUUAUCCCUUCAACAGGACUCACAUGAAUUUAACGUGUGUGGUCACGGGCGCACGACCACGGCCGUUCUUAAAGUUCUACAUCGAAGGGAUCGAGAGCAACGGCCGCGGGAGCAACAAUCGGAAAUCCUCAACGGACUGGUACAAGGGUGAUCUCCGAACGUCACUAGACGUUGUCGUCGAGGACACAUUAGACCCCGCUGUUGUCGAGUGUGAAAUGUCAAUCCCCGAAACAGAGUACAAGCGCCGAGAAAGAAUCGUCUACUACCCCAGUUCGAAUCGUUCCGAUUAACAAGAGCAUGCUUACCGUUACUCAACUUUCCAUCGCAUCCAGUUAUUUUCUAAACGCAAUUAUUGCCCUAUCGCACAAAUGUUUCACAAGGGAGGCACUACGCGAUGUUGCUUGUCGAUAUCCUUUACAUUAUCG
rnacentral:misc_RNA from 1 species